GACGAACGCUGGCGGCGUGCUUAACACAUGCAAGUCGAACGGUAAGGCUCCAGCUUGCUGGGGUACACGAGUGGCGAACGGGUGAGUAACACGUGGGUGACCUGCCCUGCACUUCGGGAUAAGCCUGGGAAACUGGGUCUAAUACCGGAUAGGACCGCACCGUGAGGGUGUGGUGGAAAGUUUUUUCGGUGUGGGGUGGGCCCGCGGCCUAUCAGCUUGUUGGUGGGGUAAUGGCCUACCAAGGCGGCGACGGGUAGCCGGCCUGAGAGGGUGGACGGCCACAUUGGGACUGAGACACGGCCCAGACUCCUACGGGAGGCAGCAGUGGGGAAUAUUGCACAAUGGGCGGAAGCCUGAUGCAGCGACGCCGCGUGGGGGAUGACGGCCUUCGGGUUGUAAACUCCUUUCACCAUCGACGAAGGGUUUCUGACGGUAGAUGGAGAAGAAGCACCGGCUAACUACGUG
rnacentral:rRNA from 1 species